GACGUAGGGUGCAAGCGUUGUCCGGAUUUACUGGGCGUAAAGAGCGCGUAGGCGGCUCGUUAAGUGAGAAGUGAAAGCUCUGGGCUCAACCCAGAAACCGCUUUUCAUACUGGCAAGCUGGAGUGAUGCAGAGGUGGAUAGAAUUCCCGGUGUAGCGGUGAAAUGCGUUGAUAUCGGGAGGAAUACCCGUGGCGAAGGCGGUCCACUGGGCAUCAACUGACGCUGAGGCGCGAAAGCGUGGGUAGCAAACAGG
rnacentral:rRNA from 1 species